rnacentral:rRNA from 1 species
AUUGAACGCUGGCGGCAGGCCUAACACAUGCAAGUCGAACGAGUGGCGGACGGGUGAGUAAUGUCUGGGAAACUGCCCGAUGGAGGGGGAUAACUACUGGAAACGGUAGCUAAUACCGCAUACCAUCGGAUGUGCCCAGAUGGGAUUAGCUAGUAGGUGGGGUAACGGCUCACCUAGGCAACGAUCCCUAGCUGGGUUGAGAGGAUGACCAGCCACACUGGAACGGAGCCACGGUCCAGACUCAUACGGGAGGCAGCAGAGGAGAAUAUUGCACAAGGGGCGCAAGCCUGAUGCAGCCCUGCCGCGUGUAUGGAGGAGGCCUUCGGGUUGGAAAGUUCUUUCAGCGAGAAGGCGUUACUCGCAGAAGAAGCACCGGCUAACUCCGUGCCAGCAGCCGCGGUAAUUC